AUGGAUGUUGAUGAACGAAAGGUGCUCUACCAUAUAUGUUGUUGCUCCCAAUACUUGCGCGCAGAGCACAACCAGGCUUGCUACAACAAACGAGCACAUGCAGCACACGUCGCACUGGCAAGUACGAAGAAAGGCUCCUGCCCUAGCGGUGAACCUCACCUCCAACACGACGUCAUGAACGCGCAUGGCAGAGCGCUGGCCAGCCCAACUGUAGGUAAGUUUGAUUCUCCAGUUUCGGUGGUAAGUGCCUUCGGUAGCGAAAAAUGCCAAACGGAGACCGAGCUCCAUGGAGGCCUUGAUUUGAAAACUUCAACAUUCAUACUUUUCAGUUUCAAAAAAUUCUGA
rnacentral:rRNA from 1 species